UACGGAGGGGGCUAGCGUUGUUCGGAUUUACUGGGUUUAAAGGGUGCGUAGGUGGGUUGGUAAGUCAGUGGUGAAAUACUUUCGCUUAACGAAGGAACUGCCAUUGAUACUACCAGUCUUGAAUACAGUGGAGGUAGGCGGAAUGCGUCAUGUAGCGGUGAAAUGCUUAGAUAUGACGCAGAACACCAAUUGCGAAGGCAGCUUGCUACACUGUUAUUGACACUGAGGCACGAAAGCGUGGGGAUCAAACAGG
rnacentral:rRNA from 1 species